rnacentral:rRNA from 1 species
AACGAACGCUGGCGGCAGGCCUAACACAUGCAAGUCGAGCGAGGACUUCGGUCCUAGCGGCGGACGGGUGAGUAACGCGUGGGAACGUGCCCUUUGCUUCGGAAUAGCCCUGGGAAACUGGGAGUAAUACCGGAUGAGCCCUUUGGGGGAAAGAUUUAUCGGCGAAGGAUCGGCCCGCGUUGGAUUAGGUAGUUGGUGGGGUAAUGGCCUACCAAGCCGACGAUCCAUAGCUGGUUUGAGAGGAUGAUCAGCCACACUGUGACUGAGACACGGCCCAGACUCCUACGGGAGGCAGCAGUGGGGAAUCUUAGACAAUGGGGGAAACCCUGAUCUAGCCAUGCCGCGUGAGCGAUGAAGGCCUUAGGGUUGUAAAGCUCUUUCAGCUGGGAAGAUAAUGACGGUACCAGCAGAAGAAGCCCCGGCUAACUCCGUG